rnacentral:rRNA from 1 species
GACGAACGCUGGCAGCGUGCUUAACACAUGCAAGUCGAACGGUAAGGCCCUUCGGGGUACACGAGUGGCGAACGGGUGAGUAACACGUGGGUGAUCUGCCCUGCACUUCGGGAUAAGCCUGGGAAACUGGGUCUAAUACCGGAUAGGACCACUGCCUGCAUGGGUGGUGGUGGAAAGCUUUUGCGGUGUGGGAUGGGCCCGCGGCCUAUCAGCUUGUUGGUGGGGUGAUGGCCUCCCAAGGCGACGACGGGUAGCCGGCCUGAGAGGGUGACCGGCCACACUGGGACUGAGAUACGGCCCAGACUCCUACGGGAGGCAGCAGUGGGGAAUAUUGCACAAUGGGCGCAAGCCUGACGCAGCGACGCCGCGUGAGGGAUGACGGCCUUCGGGUUGUAAACCUCUUUCAGCACCGACGAAGCGCAAGUGACGGUAGGUGCAGAAGAAGGACCGGCCAACUACGUGCCAGCCGCCGCAGUAA